ACCCCCCUCACCGGCUUUUAGCUAUGGGGUGGGGGGGGGAGGGAGGAUGCUCCCGGCUCCCUCCCGCCCCGCCUGCCCCCGGCCCAGCCCUACGAACACCAUUUUGCGCAGGGAGGGGGGGAUCCGGGGGUCGGUCCCGCCCGGCUCCGCAGUGGCAGCGCUGCCCCGUCACCUGACCGCCGUGCGCGCGCACCGCACCGCACCGCGCCGCCCCCCCCCGCAUCCCCUCCCCUCCCGCGGGGGCGGGGGUGCCCGGUAUAUACGGCCCCGCCGCCCCCGCCCCUGCCUGCCUCCUGCAGCAGGGGAGGCCGCCGCUCGCCGCCGCACCGCGCCCGGCCCCGCAGGUGGGCGAGCCGCAGCGGGGUCCUCCGGGUCCCAAGAUGGCCGCCGCUGCCUGGCCCCCUCCUGCGGUUUGCUGCGCCGCGUGAGUACCUGGCAAGCUCCUACUGUGGUGCCUUGGAGUCGGGGAGGGGAUCUCAGCAAGAGGAUUUCUGCCCAUCUUGAACUGGGGUAUUCUCUGGGAGGGAGAGAGGAGGAAAAGAGCACGAUUCUGAGAUGCACGCAUGUAUUAGAGGGGACGCUUGAUUAG
ensembl:lncRNA